rnacentral:rRNA from 1 species
GACGAACGCUGGCGGCGUGCUUAACACAUGCAAGUCGAGCGGUAAGGCCCUUUCGGGGGUACACGAGCGGCGAACGGGUGAGUAACACGUGGGUGAUCUGCCCUCAGCUCUGGGAUAAGCCUGGGAAACUGGGUCUAAUACCGGAUAUGACUCCAUGACGCAUGUUGUGGGGUGGAAAGCCUUGUGCGGCUGAGGAUGGGCCCGCGGCCUAUCAGCUUGUUGGUGGGGNGAUGGCCUACCAAGGCGACGACGGGUAGCCGGCCUGAGAGGGCGGCCGGCCACACUGGGACUGAGACACGGCCCAGACUCCUACGGGAGGCAGCAGUGGGGAAUCUUGCGCAAUGGGCGAAAGCCUGACGCAGCGACGCCGCGUGAGGGAUGACGGCCUGG